rnacentral:ribozyme from 1 species
AAAGCAAACAAAAACAACACCAAAAAAAGCAUCCAAAGAUAGAAUCUCACCCCCUCGGUCUUCUCCUCGCUCUAACUCCCUUUCUCCAAUCUCUCCUUCUCCUUCUCCCCCUUCUCUUUCCUCUCUUUUUUUGAAAGAGAAUGAUGAAACAAACACUGAGGUGUCGACCUUAACUCAAAAAUCACAAACA